rnacentral:rRNA from 1 species
GAUGAACGCUAGCGGCAGGCUUAAUACAUGCAAGUCGAGGGGCAGCAUGAAUGUAGCAAUACAUUUGAUGGCGACCGGCAAACGGGUGCGGAACACGUACACAACCUUCCUAUAAGUGGGGUAUAGCCCAGAGAAAUUUGGAUUAAUACCCCGUAACAUAAUGAUGUGGCAUCACAUUAUUAUUAUAGCUACGGCGCUUAUUGAUGGGUGUGCGGCUGAUUAGAUAGUUGGCGGGGUAACGGCCCACCAAGUCUACGAUCAGUAGCUGAUGUGAGAGCAUGAUCAGCCACACGGGCACUGAGACACGGGCCCGACUCCUACGGGAGGCAGCAGUAAGGAAUAUUGGUCAAUGGACGCAAGUCUGAACCAGCCAUGCCGCGUGAAGGAUUAAGGUCCUCUGGAUUGUAAACUUCUUUUAUCUGGGACGAAAAAAGGCGAUUCUUCGUCACUUGACGGUACCAGAUGAAUAAGCACCGGCUAACUCCGUGCCAGCCGCCGCGGUAACAC